rnacentral:rRNA from 1 species
CAAUAGCGUAUAUUAAAGUUGUUGCAGUUAAAAAGCUCGUAGUUGGAUUUCUGGUCGGAAGCUCCUGUCCUCUGAUGAGCGUACAAGUGCGUCCUACCAUCCUUCUGUUAACCUUUAAGGCUUUCGCGGCUUUCUAGGGGCUCAGAUAUUUUACCUUGAGAAAAUUAGAGUGUUUCAGGCAGGCUAGCGCCGGAAUACAUUAGCAUGGAAUAAUGGAAUAGGACUUUUGCCACUUCUGUUGGUCAUGAGGCUCGAGUAAUGAUUAAUAGGGAUAGUUGGGGGCAUUAGUACUUAACUGUCAGAGGUGAAAUUCUCGGAUUUGUUAAAGACUAACUUAUGCGAAAGCAUUUGCCAAGGAUGUUUUCAUUAA